AGCCCGCUCAGAAACUACAAAGGAAUUGACGGGGGCCCGCACAAGCGGUGGAGCAUGUGGUUUAAUUCGAUGAUACGCGAGGAACCUUACCUGGGCUCAAAUGUAUGUUGACGUAUUCUGAAAGGGAUACUUCUUCGGGCAAUAUACAAGGUGCUGCAUGGUUGUCGUCAGCUCGUGCCGUGAGGUGUCGGGUUAAGUCCCAUAACGAGCGCAACCCCUAUCAUUAGUUGCCAUCAGGUCAAGCUGGGGACUCUAAUGAAACUGCCUACGCAAGUAGUGAGGAAGGUGGGGAUGACGUCAAAUCAGCACGGCCCUUACGCCCAGGGCUACACACGUGCUACAAUGGCCGGUACAAAGGGCAGCUACCUGGUGACAGGAUGCUAAUCUCAAAAGCCGGUCUCAGUUCGGAUCGGAGUCUGCAACCCGACUCCGUGAAGCUGGAAUCGCUAGUAGUCGCGCAUCAGCCAUGGCGCGGUGAAUACGUUCCCGGGCCUU
rnacentral:rRNA from 1 species